rnacentral:lncRNA from 1 species
AAGAGGUUGUGCAGUUGCUACUUCAAGGACUUCAAGGAGUGCCAUAUUCUUCCCACUGCUGGUUUUCUCUCUGCCUAUGAACAGUGAUGGACUCAGUGUUUCCAAGAACUGUGCACAGAAAUACAGUAGAGGAAAGCAGCAAUACAUCGCCUGCUGAGGAGCUCUUCUUCCAGCAAAGAUCCAGCAGUGAAAGUAGACUAAAUGUGUUUUCUAAUCACUGCACUGUUCAGGAGGACACAAAGU